AGUCUUGUGGUGGGACAGCCGAGUCUGCGCUCUCGCCCGCGAUCUCUAUGGUAUUUGUCUUGGCCGUCCUCUCCCGUGGCUGAGAGGCUGGUUCUCUGAGGAGGAGAGAGACUCCUGAUUGGACUUGCGGCCUGAUCCUAGCCAAGAUUGCCGGGAACGAAGCAAUCCCCGUGGAUUUCAAUGGGAUUUACUUCCCGGUCGGUAUGAGUAAGAGGACGGCAGCCUUGGACUCGCAGGAGCCCGAUUCAAAUCGUAUUUUCUCGGGUCCCACCAAUUGCAAUGGGGCUUACUCCAGUCCAGUCUCCAUAUGAUUACAGCAUGACUCCGUCUCGUCUGGACCACGACUCCUGCCCUUUCCCUUCCCCAGCAGCACUAUUAUUAUCCCCAUGGUCCCUGGAGCAGCGUCUCAUAACGGGGAGACCCAAGAGCUGAAACGCAAAGCACACACGUUUCUGAAGAGAACAAAGCCAGCUCCAUAGGAGGGCAUGGCAUUCAGGCAACAUCACCUUAAGCGUAUUAGUUAGUUGCCCCUUAGCUCACCUCUGGGUGUCUGAUGAUGUAAUCAGCAAUCCUGCAGAUCCAGGACAUGGAAGAGGUUAUAAUAUGAAGGUGUCCAGUGGAAUGAAACUAGUUGUUAUAAUGGUGGAAAGGUUUAAAUCAUUUAAACUUGUAUCGAAUGAAGAUUUGAAUCUAAGGAAAAAUGUUUAGAUCUGGUUCUCAGACUCGCAUGUUGAGGAGCCUGUAUAUAUGGUGGAACAGCGGGUGUGCACUUGACCCCUUUGCCACACAUAAAAGGGGGCAUAUUUAAAAGACGGGCACACUGGCGUGAAUAACCAAAUUGUGACGCCAGUGCCAUUCUUUGUAGUACUAGUAUCAUUUCUCCCUACCCUCAAAAAAAGGUUGCCCAUAGAAUGCUGAGGUCUCAGUUCCUUUUACUAACUUCAUAUCAGAAUGAAUUGGAUGCACAUGUAUGCAGAUAUACUGUAUACAAACUUUACUGGUUGAAUCACACAAUACCCUUCAUGGUAUUAUUAUUUUUAUUAGAUCAGUCCAUCCCAAUACAUAGACAUUCUGAAAUUAGUACCAAUGCAUACCAAGUGAAUAAUAAUAGUAAUAAUAGUAGUAGUGGGAAUAGUAAUAAUUUAAUUUAAUUUAUAUACUGCCUGACUCAGGAGCGAUUCUGAUCCACUCUCAUUGUGACCUGUUUAACAGUUAUAGCAAAUUGCUGGUCAGAGACUGAAAUAAAACUGAACUGAACUGAACAAUUCUAGCAAGAUUACACACAUCAGCAAUCUGCAUAUACUGCUGUUAUAAACAGCAGCCUUCUCCACCCUUGUUUGUUCCUCUGUGACAAACAAUACCUUUAUCUGAACACAAUAAAAUGUGAGUGAGAUCAUUUGCAAUAUCUAAUUCAAGCUCUUGUGGACUUUGCUUCAAUUAGCCCUUCUGUAAAUAUGUUGUAGAUUUCAUGGACCGUAAUAAAUUUGAUUGAUUGAUUAUGUUGUAGAUCACUCUUUCCCUGUAGUAUAUCAGAAGCAAAAUCACAAUCAGAUUAAUUUAACUCAAGAUAUAUGUACAAAGUUAAAUUCACUCUUCUGAAUUAGACAUUGGGAAACUAUAAUUAGAAAAAUAAGACAAAAUGUCCAUCUCAUCGUAACUGAAUAAAUUAAAACUAGAAAUUGGUAUGACUUCAGUCAUGCACAUGAUUAUAGGCUGACAUCCAAAGUAACACAGUGACUUUGCAGUGACCUGAAGGAGAAGAGCAAUUUUCACUCAUCUUCUCUUCUCUCUGAAGCACACUGUGUCUCAAGAAAAAAUGUCCCUGAAGCAUACUGUGUCUCCAGAAAAUACAAUUUGCAUGGUAUGACCCUCGGACAUAUGACCCUCGGAGGCACAGAGUGCUUCAGAGGAAAGGGGAGACUGGUGGAAAACACCCCUUCCCCACAGGGCUGCGACAGUUUGGAUGUCAGCUGUUUUUGUUGUUUCUUCAUACAGCAUCUUGGCUCUCUCAGCUUCUCUCUCAGUGUAACCUUCUGUAAGCCAGAAUUCUGCCUAACAAAAGAAAUGGUGGUCAGCAUUCAUAACAUAGAAAAUGUGUGCAUAUGAAUGGCAUGAGUUACAUAUGAAUUGCACAUCAGGGAUGGCCAGGACCACUGAUGUGUGCAAGAAAUAGAACAUUUGAACAAAUCCUUAAGGAUGUUUGGAAGAUUUGAUAUGAGUCUGAUUCGUGGAACCUGCAGAACUCCUGAAGCAGUUCUGUAACUGACAGAAUUUCAGUGCUUAGCUGUUCCCGUUUUGCUGAUAUAGUUGGGAGUUAGGUGCAACUAACCUUUUUAAAACUGCAUAUAGUGGGUACUACCAGGAGUAUUCCCAGAUGGCAAUUUUACUUUAACCACAGAAGGGCAAGUGUGCAUUCACAUAUUGUCCACGUUGACAUCGAAGUCCCUGCGAGCUAUCAGGGAACACUCCAUACAUGAUUCAGGUUUUUCAUUGCUCAUUGGCGCUUAGCCUGGUCUAUGUCCAGGGUUAAAAACAAACAAACACUUUUUUUUCCAUUGGUUUCUUAGGCAAAUUCAAAAUAUCCAUAACUCGUAGUACUUCACCCCUUUUAAUCCCGCAGUAAAGCCUGCUGUCUGGGAAAGCUCCAGAACUCUUUAGCACUGCUGAAGCAUCACUCUUCCAUUAUAAUGUGAAAUCACAAGUAUAAUUGUGGUUCCAGAUAGCACUUAGUAUCAUCUCCACAGCAGAGGUUAUGGUGGGUGAUUCCUUUAUCCUAGAAUUGCAGCCUAAGAAUUCUCACUCAGGAAUAAGUUCCAUUCCAUGCAAUAGGAACCAUUCAUAGACUCAGAAUUUUAGAGUUGGAAGGAGGUGGUCUAGUCCACCUCCCUAGUCCCUGCUUAGAGCAGGAAACUCCUGCAGCAUCUCUGACAGAUGGCCAUCCAGCCUCUAUUUGAAAACCUCUGGAGGAGAGCCCAUCAUUGCAUGAAGCAGGCUAUCCCCUCUGUCAAACAGGUCUUGCAGUUAGGAAAUGCUUCCUAAUGUGUAACCUAAAUCUGCUUCAUUGUCAUUUCAGUCCAUUGCUUCUAGUCCUGCCAUCAGGAUCAACAGAAAAUGUCUUCUCCUUCUGUGCAACAGCACUUCAGAUUCCUGAAGAUGCCGGUUAUCAUAUUCUGCCCCACCCUCCUGCCAGUCUCCUCUUCUCCAGGCUAAACCUGCCCAGCUCAUAUUUCAAAGAGCAACAAUCUCCAAUCAACACCAUCUGGAAUCUGUCCGACAGGUAGGAGCAGAACCACUGUAGAACAGUGCCUCCCACCCUCAACGCUCUCAGACGUUCCAAAAGGAUACUAUGGUCGAUAGUAUCGAAAGCCGCCGAAAGAUCCAAAAGGACCAACAAGUCACACUUCCUCUGCCAAUUCCCAAUUGGAGAUCAUCCAUCAGGCCGACCAAGACAGUCUCCACCCCGUAGCCCGCCUGAAAGCUAGUUUGAAAUGGGUCUAGAUAAUCAGUUUCCUCCAAGACUGCCUGGAACUGAGCCCACCACCCUCUCAAUUACCUUGCCCAGCCAUGAGCUUGGAGUCAGACCUAUAGUUGCUCAAUUCCAAGGGGUCUAAUGUAGGCUUCUUUAGAAGAGCCCCUAAUAAUUGCCUCAUUAAGACAAGUGCCCUCCCUCAGGGAAGCAUUUAUGAUUUCUAUCAGGCCUCCUACAACAGCCUCCCUGCUAGAUAGAACAAACCAUGUUGGACAAGGGUCAAGAGAACAAGUGGCAGGCCUCAUCACUUCAAGCAGCUUGUCCACAUCCUCAGGAGUCACAAACUGAAACCGAUACAGUCGGACCACAUAAGAGGAGUUGCUGGACACCUCCAAUUCAGACAUCACAGUAAUUGUGGAGUCUCCAUCUAAGUCAGCCCGAAUCUAAGAGAUUUUAUCUGCAAAACAGUCUUUAAACACAUCACAGUGGGUAACUGAUGGCUCCAAAUUCUGAUUCCAGGAAGGGGAUGGCGUAUACUAGCCCCCUCACAACCCUGAAUAACUCCACUGGACGUGAACUCGCAGAUGCAAUACGGGCAGAAAAGAACCACUUCUUUGCUGCACAUAUUGCCUGAGCAUAGAUCUUUAAAUGUGCUCUAUGUCGUAAUCUGUCGGAUUCAAGUUGAGUCUUUCUCCACUUGCGCUCCAGUCAUGUACCUUGCUGUUUUUUGCCCCCGUAGAUCUUCCGUAUACCAAGGGGCCAGUUUUGAAGCGGGUCAAAGGGGACGCUUAGGAGCAAUCAUGUCUACUGCCAUGGUGAGCAUGUUGUUCCAGUUCUCCACCAGGGCAUCAACAGGAUCACCAGCAAAGCCAACAUUAAAUCCCUCCAAGGCUUCUUGGAAUCCUAUAGGGUCCAAUAACCUCUUCAGGUGGACCAUUCUAAUAGGCCCCUCGCCCCUGUGGAGGUGGAGAGUGGUUGUAAGCCUAACCUUGACCUGAUGGUGGUCUGCCCAUGACAAUGGGGAAAUCACAGGAGUCCCCACCCACGGAACACCACCCUGAUUAGAGUAAAAGACCAAAUCAAGUGUGUGACCUGCAAUAUGUGUUGGUCCAGAGACCGCUUGGGAUAGGCCCAUAGUUGUCAUGGUCGCUAUGAACUCCUGAGCGGCCCUGGAUAAAUUGGUGCCAAAAUGAACAUUGAAGUCCCCCAGCACCAAAAGUCUGGGAAACUCCAGCAUGAGUUCCGCGACCAAGUCCGUGAGCACAGUAAGGGAUUCCGUUGGGCAGCUGGAUGAUUGGUACACCAACAGAAGUCCCAAUCUAUCCCUGGUCCCCAAACUUAAGUACACACAUUCAAUAUGGUCUGAUACCCCAACAGAGACCCUGGUAAGGGAGAUGUUAUAGACCAGAGCCACUCCACCUCCCUGCCCACGUCCCCUCACCUGCUCCUCUGCAGAAUAUCCUGGAGGAAGAAGCUGAGACCAGACUGGGCCACUAGCCUCCCCCAACCAAGUCUCGGUGAUGCACACCAGGUCGGCCCCUUAAUCCAUAAUCAAAUCAUGGAUGAGUUUGAGUUUAUUUUGGACCGACCUGGUAUUACAGAGGAGCAAGGUAAGGCUAUGUGGGUUGUUGGCAGUGCUCCCCAAGGUCACAGAGGUGGCAGACAGCCAGAGGGGGAGACAGCUAUUAAAUUUCUGACUACCCUUCCCCUGGAACGGCUUGCUGACCUGCCAGCGUUACUUCUUCUAUUCCCCACCACCACCAGAAUAGCUGCCCCACAUUCAAUGAAGGCGCCCCCUGUCUCCCCAUCUCCAGACAAACCCAGACACAUUACAACUACUUCAACCCAAUCUCAGUAACAAAGCUGGCACACUUACUGCUGCAACUCCUCAAACAGCCAAACUGCAUAUAAUGUAGCCCAACCUUAACCAUUGGUUACCUGCUGUGUCACUUUUAAUGAUUUUUUUCAUAGACAAAACCUCUUGUAUCUAGGCCGAACUGCAUUCUACAAUUAGGGCAGGUUCUGUUAUGGAGGUAUCCAGCAACUCCUCUUAUGUGAUCAGACUGGAUCAUGUUCAGUUUGUGACUCCUGAGGAUGUGGACAAUCUGUUUAGGACUGUGCAUCCUACCACCUGCUCUCUUGACUCUUGCUGAACUUGGCUUAUUUUAUCUAACAACCAGAUUAUCAGAGAUGGUCUGGUAAACAUCAUAAAUGCUUAUCUGAGGGAGGGUAGGAUGUCUCCUUGUCUUAACGGGGCUAUCAUUAGACCAGGCCUGCUCAAUUUAGCCCCUCAGCUGUCUUUGAACUACAGUCCCCAUAAUCCCCAGCCACAGUGGCCAACAGCCAGGGAUUAGGGGAAUUGUAGGCCAACAUCUGCAGGAGGGUCAAAGUUGAGCAGUCCAGCAUUAGACCAUACUUGGAAAAACCUAUAUUGGACCUCUCAGAGUUAGGCAACUCUAGACCUGUCUCUAAUCUCUCAUGGUUAGGCAAGGCGAUUGAAGGGGUGGGGUGGUGGCCCCUGAUGAGAGAUCAUCAGGAGAUGUCGUGCAGGAUGUUAUCAAUAUGCUGAUGACACCCAAAUCUAUUUCUCCCUAUCAGCUUCAUCAGGAAAUGACAUAACUUCCCUAAAUGCCUCCCUGGAGGCAGUAAUGGGCUGGAAUGGGGAUCACAAACUGAAGUUGAAUCCAAAUUUAGAAAGAGAGGUACUGAUUGUGAAGGGGCAAAACCUGAGAUUUGGUUUCAAUCUGUUUGUUGUGGAUGGGGUUACAGUCUCUCUGAAAGAUCAGGUACAUAGCUUGGGAGUGCUCCUGGAUCCAAAGCUCUCUCUGGUUUCUCAGGUUGAGGCAGUGGCCAGAAGCACUUUUUAUCAGCAUUGGCUGAUACAUCAGCUAUGCUCAUUUCUGGAGGUAAAUGAUCUUAAAACAGUAGUGCAAAUACUGGUAACCUCCAGGCUUGACUACUGUAAUGCACUCUAUGUGGGGCUGCCUUUGUACAUAGUUCGGAAACACAACUGGUACAGAAUGUGGCAGACAGACUGGUCUCUGGGACAACCCAAAGGGACCAUAUAACACAGAUUCUGAAAGAAUUGCAUUGGCUGCUGAUAUGUUUCCAAGAGAAAUACACAGUGAUGGUUAUUAUUACCUAUAAAGCUCUGAAUGGCUUGGGUCCAGGGUACUUAAGUGAGUGCCUUCUUUGUCAUGAACCCUGUUGCCUAUUAAGAUCAUUUGGGGAGGUCCAGUUACAGUUGUGGGGAGGGGGGGCCUUGGGGCUGGGCCUUCUUUUUGGAUGCCUCAGGGCUUGGAAUGCACUCCCUGUCAAAAUAAGAGCUUCUCCAUCUCUGACUGCUUUUAAAAAGACCCUGAAGACACACCUGUUUUCUCAGGUUUUUAAUGCAAACUAAUUGUAAACUGUUUAAUUUUUUAAUUCUGUAACAUUAUUUUAAUUGUUUACUCUGUGAAUUGUUUUUGGUUUUUUAUUCAGUGAAAGUGUUUUAUUUGUUUUUAUUUUUAUAUUGUAAAUUGGAUUGUGUACACUGCCUAGAGAAGUAUAUGUCAGGUGGUAUGUAUAUGUGAUAAAAACAACAAUAAAAUAAAUAUUGCUAUCUA